AUGAAAGGGUUCCUACCUGUCAAGGCGGAGCUCGCAAGGAGACACAUUGGCGAGGAUGUGAUCUGUGCGUUGUGUGGACACGAGGACGAGACCUUGUUUCAUUCUUUGGUUACCUGCACCCAUGCACAAGUGUUCUGGGCAGAGGCUCUCAGGUUUUUUGGCUGUACCCUCCCUACGAUGCUACCUAUGACUUGGACAAGGGAUCUCCUCGACCCCAGCUUCAUUGCAAAGGAGGAUGCAGCCGUGGUAAUCUCGGUGAUGUGGGCAAUAUGGAGCGAUCGCAACAAGUAUACUCAUGGUGAGCGGCAGUACCAGCCGCUUAGGUCUAUGGAACUAAUUCAGGAGCACCUGAGAGCUCUGAAUAUACCAGCCAACGACACGGCCGUACAGCGGCGCAAAGAAAGGUGGAAACCCCCGGUAGAAGGUGUGGUGAAGCUAAACGUGGAUGCUGCAACUGAUGCUAUUGGAGGCAGAGCUGGGACGGCGGUAGUCGCAAGAAAUCACAAAGGAGAGUUUCUGGUAGGAAGGUAUGUCUCUUAUGAGGGGCUCACCGAUCCAUAUGUGUGCGAAGCAAUGGGAUGCAGAGAUGCCAUGUUGCUAGCCAUGGACAGAGGAUGGCCUAGAGUGGAGAACAUAUCAGACUGCAAACCAGUAGUAAAUGACUGGAACGCUGGGAUACACUGCUCGGUGAGUGGCCCUAUCUUCAGAGAGAUGUCUUCAUAUCUCUCGCUUUUUCAGGGGGUAGAGAUUCAGCACAAUGGAAGAGAAGCCAAUGAAGUAGCUCAUUUGUUGGCUAGGUAUGGUGUUACUGCUGUGAGGAGCAGUAUGACUUUUUUUUACUCCCCCUGUUUUCCUAAGUGCAGCUUUGCACUCGGACUGUGUACGGUCUAUUAA
rnacentral:rRNA from 1 species